rnacentral:rRNA from 1 species
UUAGGCGGACGGGGUGAGUAACACGUGAGCAACCUGCCUUCGAGAGGGGAAUAACGGCUGGAAACGGUCGCUAAUACCGCAUAACAUACCGGGAGGACAUCCUGCUGGUAUCAAAGAUUUAUCGCUCGAAGAUGGGCUCGCGUCCGAUUAGGUAGUUGGUGAGGUAACGGCUCACCAAGCCGACGAUCGGUAGCCGGACUGAGAGGUUGAACGGCCACAUUGGGACUGAGACACGGCCCAGACUCCUACGGGAGGCAGCAG